rnacentral:rRNA from 1 species
CGAGAUUCCCCCAGUAGCGGCGAGCGAACGGGGAGCAGCCCAGAGCCUGAAUCAGUAUGUGUGUUAGUGGAAGCGUCUGGAAAGGCGCGCGAUACAGGGUGACAGCCCCGUACACAAAAAUGCACAUGCUGUGAGCUCGAUGAGUAGGGCGGGACACGUGGUAUCCUGUCUGAAUAUGGGGGGACCAUCCUCCAAGGCUAAAUACUCCUGACUGA